rnacentral:rRNA from 1 species
GCUCAACCGUGGAGGGUCAUUGGAAACUGGGAGACUUGAGUGCAGAAGAGGAAAGUGGAAUUCCAUGUGUAGCGGUGAAAUGCGCAGAGAUAUGGAGGAACACCAGUGGCGAAGGCGACUUUCUGGUCUGUAACUGACGCUGAUGUGCGAAAGCGUGGGGAUCAAACAGGAUUAGAUACCCUGGUAGUCCACGCCGUAAACGAUGAGUGCUAAGUGUUAGGGGGUUUCCGCCCUUCAGUGCCGGAGCUAACGCAUUAAGCACUCCGCCUGGGGAGUACGACCGCAAGGUUGAAACUCAAAGGAAUUGACGGGGGCCCGCACAAGCGGUGGAGCAUGUGGUUUAAUUCGAAGCUACGCGAAGAACCUUACCAGGUCUUGACAUCUUGCGCUAACCUAAGAGAUUAGGCGUUCCCUUCGGGGACGCAAUGACAGGUGGUGCAUGGUCGUCGUCAGCUCGUGUCGUGAGAUGUUGGGUUAAGUCCCGCAACGAGCGCAACCCUUGUUACUAGUUGCCAGCAUUCAGUUGGGCACUCUAGUGAGACUGCCGGUGACAAACCGGAGGAAGGUGGGGAUGACGUCAGAUCAUCAUGCCCCUUAUGACCUGGGCUACACACGUGCUACAAUGGUCGGUACAACG